rnacentral:lncRNA from 1 species
CCUGUAACUGCUUAGUAGUGAUCUUGUUAACUGUAAACAGUUAUAACAAAAUCUCAAGAGUCUAUCCUUCGUUUUCCACAACAACACUGGAAUCUUCCAGGGUGAGGUACUAAGUCGGAUACACCCUUUAUCCUACUAAGCUCUACUAAGCUCUCUAUACUUUUCUGACUCUUCUGAACUCUCUCUUUCUCUGCAGGUGCCAUCCUGUAGGGUAGAAGGAAAGAAAUGAUUCUGCGUCCAGAUAUCAUUCUCAUUCCAA